AAGAAUUGCUGUCAUAAGGGUAAAGCUCUAUCAAACAUUAUUUUAGUGCUGAUUCCAUUGAAAGCGAUAAUCAGGAUGAUAUAAUGAAUUUUUCUAUAGAGGUUGGUGCAAUUGUUAUGCUUUUACGUAAUUUGACCCCAAACAAAGGACUUAGUAAUGGUAUUGACAAGCACAGAUCUAACUCUAAGUGUCUCUCAGUUGCCAUUUACUUUAAAAAGACGCCAGUUUCCUAUAAUUCCAGCUUUUGUUAUUAUAAUAAAUAAAAGUCAAGGACAAACUUUUGAACAUGUAGGCUUAUUUCUCCCUGAGCCCGUCUUUGCCCAUGGGCAAUUAUAUGUAGCUCUUACUAGAUGUAAAUCUCAAAAUAAUAUGAAAAUCAUGAUUGCCAUCAG